rnacentral:rRNA from 1 species
UACGGGGGGGGCAAGCGUUGUUCGGAUUCAUUGGGCGUAAAGGGUGUGUAGGUGGCGCGCUAAGUCGGGUGUGAAAUUUCGGAGCUUAACUCCGAAACUGCAUUCGAUACUGGCGUGCUUGAGGACUGGAGAGGAGACUGGAAUUCCUGGUGUAGCGGUGAAAUGCGUAGAGAUGUGGAGGAACACCAGUGGCGAAGGCGACUCUUUGGCCUGUAACUGACGCUGAGGCGCGAAAGCGUGGGGAGCAAACAGG